rnacentral:lncRNA from 1 species
GAUAAUAAUACAUACCCCAUUUGAAUCACACAUGCUCUGUCCACAUCCCACUUAUUCUUGCCUCAUUUUGCUUGAUCUCCCUGUUUGUGUUUAUGUAUGUAUGUAUGUAUGUAUAUAUAUGGCUCCCCUCUGUAAUCUAUUUGCUCCAUAAAUUCACCAAGCAACUUUUUUUAAUCUUAGCUACGCAGUCAGGUAAGUUGAUUUUACAUAUAUAUCACUUAUUAGUAUGUAUACAUCUAGUAAGUUCAUAAUGGUUUCAAAUAUAUAUAUAUAUAUAGCUAUGUGUUGGAUAUAUAUUGAAAACUGAUGCAUGUUAGUUUUCUAAUUUCUUUUUCUGGGUUUGUCAGAGAGCAGCGAAUUGAUCAAUGGGGAUGAUGAAAAUAAUGCAGCUUCUAGUAGUUUCUUUGAUCAUGAUCAUGAUGAUCAUGGCGAAUUCUGGUUUGGCUGCAGAGAGGAAGACAUUAUCAGACGAUGACAACCAAGUUAAUCAUGGAAGCAGUGCAGUAAAUAACCACCAUUACAUUCCAAGGCAAGACUUUAACAACUACUACGGUGGAGGCAGUGGAAGUGGUGGUGAAAAAGAUGACGGUGAAAAUGGCAGCGGUUAAUAUAUACAUAUAUAUAUGUAUAUAUAAGCAAAACUAUUAUACAUAAAUAAUAUAUGUAGAACUCUGUGUUAUCAUUUCAAAAAAAUGCUAACUUGUCCUGAACUUAUGCCUGUUCUAUAUAAUUAUUUGUGUUGAUCAUUUAUUUACUUAUAAAUAAAUCUUU